rnacentral:rRNA from 1 species
GUGGGGGCAUCCUCGUGAUACCAAAGGAGCAAUCCGCUGAAAGAUGGGCUCAUAUCUGAUUAGCUUGUUGGCGGGGUAACGGCCCACCAAGGCGACGAUCAGUAGCCGGACUGAGAGGUUGAACGGCCACAUUGGGACUGAGAUACGGCCCAGACUCCUACGGGAGGCAGCAGUGGGGAAUAUUGGGCAAUGGGCGAAAGCCUGACCCAGCAACGCCGCGUGAAGGAAGAAGGUCUUCGGAUUGUAAACUUCUUUUAUGAGGGACGAAGGACGUGACGGUACCUCAUGAAUAAGCCACGGCUAACUACGUGCCAGCAGCCGCGGUAAUACGUAGGUGGCGAGCGUUAUCCGGAUUUACUGGGUGUAAAGGGCGCGUAGGCGGGGGUGCAAGUCAGAUGUGAAAUCUAUGGGCUCAACUCAUAAACUGCAUUCGAAACUGUACUUCUUGAGUACUGGAGAGGUAGACGGAAUUCCUUGUGUAGCGGUGAAAUGCGUAGAUAUAAGGAAGAACACCAGUGGCGAAGGCGGUCUACUGGACAGCAACUGACGCUGAGGCGCGAAAGCGUGGGGAGCAAACAGG